GUAUUGUUUGAUUAAAGUGAUUCGAGAGCGCAUCGUGCUGAAAAUUUGUUAGUUGGAGCUUCUAAAAUCGAGUUUUCAGUUACGCAAUUUGCAUCCUAUUAAACGAACCGUACUAGAUAAUUUAAAUGAGGCAAAUCCGAGUCAAUUACGUCAAGACGAAGCAGUUAAGUUGUCCGGAACCACACAAUGUCAUAUCCUUUUCAUCAAAUCAUCUCCCAACAAGGAUAAAUAGCCGUGAUUAAAGUGAUUUCCGGCUUGAAACACCCCGGAAAAAUUCCAAAUAACAGAUUGAUCAUCCGUGCAAAAUUUUAAUAAACUCGCGGCGAAAAAAUUUAUUGUUGAGGUCAAGAGCACAACCGUUGACCCUCGUUCUCAUUGCAGUAGGGUUCUGGUGUUGUUGGUUCAACUCAUUCGCUUAUCCUACUUCUGGCUAAAUAAAUCUAAGCAAGGUUUACUUGCCUCGUUUUCUUCACAAAAUCGUCACCUGUGUUUUAAAAUUUAACAUCUGUCGAGUGUGAUGUACAAAGAUUAAUCUUUUUGGCGUUUCUCUCAUAAACAGAGAUUAAAAAAGUGUUGGGCGGGCUGGUAGUAAUCUAUUUCACUACCGAUGAUUCAAUCGCAGCAAAAUUUUGACCUUCAGGAAAUUGAAACCGCAUCAAACUGACCUUUCCUAAACUGCUCGAAAUCAGCAAGUGACGAAACAAUUUUAAUGAAUAGUUUAAAUCCAAUUGACCCUCAACUUGGACUGAAUAUUUACAAUAAUUGUCACAAUAGACAUGAUUUAUUUCCAAUUACAUCGACCGUGGUAUUUAUCGAUCAAUCAUCAAGCAGAUAUUUAUUCUUUUAAAUAAUUCAUUCAUUGUUACAAACCACCUGUUCAGAUAACAACUGUCAUAACUUAAAUCCCACAACGUCUCUUAUCAAAUUUAUAAAUUAUGCAUUUUGCGGUCAUCACCUUCUAAUUGCAACAAACUGAUAAGAAUUACUUAUCGAAAGUGAAACAAAUUGGACUUACGUCACACCAGCUAUAAAUUUGCAUUGCUUUAAUUAAAUGAUCAUCUUCACUGAAUUGCAUAUAAACUCUUACUGUUUAAUAAUAAUUACGGUAACAAUGUAAAUUCGUGUUUUGUUGUUUGUACACAAGACAAUUUUAUUUGUUAGCUACAAGUUCUCACAAAAAUAAUGGCGAAGACGAUUUGCAAUAGCAAAUUAUUAUUGUUUUCAAGUGUUUUAAAUCACAUGGCGUGAGAGUCGUGACACCUAUACCGAUAAGGUGAGAAUGUAAUUGUCCUACGUAUACACAAUAUUAAAUCACCUACACAUUAAGUUCGACGGCCUCAAAUGUUGGCCCUUCAUUCCAACACAAACUAUUUAGUGAAUGAAAGUACUACACUUCUGAAAGCAAAAAACAUCAAACCUAGCAAAACCUUCAACCUUCGGGCUUGUGAUGCUAAAUUAUCCUCGAAUCUCUAUAAUUAAUGUUAUAAUUGAAGUAAUUAAUAUAAUUUUCAAGAAACGCAACAACAAUUGUCUGUAGGUCCGAGAAAUUGCGUAUUAUAACGUUUGACAACAUUAUUAAUUAACAAUAAAUAAAAAUGUUGUUACGUAGAUUAUAAACAUGCAAGCAAGAGACCAAUGUCACAGUAACCCAUAUCAAGCCCAGCAAAAUUAAUAAUUGUACUAUUGUCGUCGUCAACUCGGUUAUCGUUUGAAAUGGAACAAACAAGCCUUGUCUCACUUAGUUCCAGCAAAGUCGGAUGCUUAUUAUUUUAUUUAGACAUUUCGUGAAAUGCUUUCAACGUUUUGUAGAUAGCAGUUACGCGAUAUGUUCUAUUCAUACAUCAGUAAGAUUGAAAAUUAACAUUUCUCUUCAUGUCAACGUUACAAAACGUUCCGUUUUAUCAAGAGAGCUCUCCCACAUCUUCACUUAAUUCAAUAAUAAUGAUCGAAAAUUUGACUCGAUAACAGCUUGUAUAACUUUCACACGGGAUUCUGAGGAUACAUAAGCGAUUGACGCAAUUGCGUGCCAACAUUCGUAAAAUGAAAUUUCCGAGUUAAUUAACAAAGUCGAGAUGGUUGCGACCGGAUAUCAAGACAGGUAGUCGUACCUGCACAGGAAAUCACCGUUUAGACGUCUUGGAAAUACAAUGAAGAUCUCCUCAAACCCGUGUGUGAUGCAUAAAAUUCUCGACAAGCCGGAUCUGAGCCGGUGCCAGUGACAUUAUCUUGCCGAUUUUUUAUUUAAUAGAAAACUGAUUUAAAUCGUGUCCACAAUUUCACUAAUGCUGGAGAAAAUCAAACUUUAAAUAAAUUUCAUGCUAAUUA